GGACAGUCUGACCUUUCACCUCGGCUUGGCGGCAGCACGGACGGAACCACAUGCUACAAACGUUCCUGAUGUCCCGCCACCAGGAGACCAGGACCAGGACCAGGACCAGGACCAGGACCGGCACGCCGCUCCAACUCCGGCUCUUCACUCCUUGCGCUCACAUGUCCAUCACACCGGAAGCUGGCGGCCACCCAUCACAAAAGAAGGAUCACGGCGCAGUCGACAGGCCUCAGCUCUGACCGCCGCCUGGAACACACAUCACCUGGAACCCUCCACCUCCUCUUUGGCGCUCCGCCCUCCCACGUCCAACUGACCGGACCGGACGCCGCGGGACACACAUCUGCUGGCCUCUGUUUGUUUCAGCAGCUGGAAACAAAGUGAGUAUUUUUUGGUUGGUUUUAAAAAAUGUUGUGGUUUUUGGUAUUUUUGUAAGGAAGUAAGUCUUUAAAUAAAUACUUUAAAUAAAUGAUGGCCACCUUCCAGUCUCUUUACUACAGCAUGGGUGAAUGUGGCACAUCUCAGGCUGGAGUUGGAGUGAUCUGCUGGACUCUGCUGGUCCUCCUCAUGCCAUUGCAACAAACUAUUGCACAAGCAAAGAUACACACUGUUUUCUGCAAAGCCUUAACUGUCAGAAAAUAUAAUAUGUUUUGUCAAUGUCAUUUAUACAAGUCUGUCUUCUGUCCAGGCUCCUGAAUGAACAGAGAAAAGGGCCUGGAGAAGACCUCAAGUGCACACAAACACAAUUGUGGUUUAAAGUUUUCUACCUAAAGCACCACAGGCUGUCUUCCCCUCUUUGUUUGGAUUUUUCUUUGCCUUUUCCUACAUUUUAUAUCAAUAUCACCAGUGAACAUGUUUCAAAGUCAACAGAGAAUUUCAAAUUAAAUUACUACUACUAUGAUUUCCUUUGACAUGACUUGGAAGUUAAUGGAAGAGCUACACAAAGACAUUAAAUGUUACUUAUUUUCACAGUUGUUUAGUGACAUUUCAUUGAAUUGAACUUACCCAAUUGUUUGUAGCAUGUGCUCCCUCCAAGCCAAGGUGAAAGGUCAGACUUUCAAACAGGAGGUGGGAGCAUCCAAUUGGAUUUUUAGAAGGGGAAACUCAGAUCGUACUAACUCAUCCUUCACAACAGGCCUCUGUUCUUACAUAUAUUAACAUACAAUGCGGUUUCAAUACUGUUCUGAAUAGUCACAUGUCAUACAUUCACACAGUGCAUCGCGUCCCAUCCACCAAACGCUGCAGAUAAAAACAUGCUACCAAACGUCGGCGCCGGAUUAAAAAUCUUAUUUCUGACACAUUUUUGUGUCAAAACCAGUCACAAAAUGCACAGGCAGGUUCCCCAGCAUGCAUUCCAAACCGGCAGGGGGAAACCACACAAUUUGGUGCACCCAUGUGCACAGGAAGCAAGGAAGGGGAAGUUAUAAAUGUUUGGCGAGGAGCUCAGGUCACUCUUUCACCUGCUGCUGCUGCUGCUGAAGAACAAUAGGCCAGCUACAGCUCAUGUUCAUCAUUACAGACGCAACUGGUAGGACAAACCAAGUUAUGUGCUUUGUAGGCUUUUCUAUUUGUAUUUGAGAACAUGCUUUCUAAGUUGAAACUUUUGUGUUAGGUGAAUUGAGUCAUUAGUUGGAAAAUUAACAUUUAUUCUUUGUCUUAGUCUUCAAUAUUCUUUAAGGAAAUGUUAUGUAUGCAUUUAUUUUGAACUAAUGCAUGUCUUUCUAUUAUCUUUAAGGUUUUCAACCUAUUCCGUUCGAUUCAAUGCAUUCUGUUCUAUUAUUCCAUCCUCCCCAUCUGGAAGAAAAUAAAGAAUCAAAAGAAUUGAGUUAUCCUUUGCGUUCCUAAGAUGAGCAAGCCAUUUCUCAAGUUUGGGCAGAGUUGUGGUUAGCCAAAGAACUGAGAAUAAACUUCAAACAAAACACACAAAACUUGACACACAUAAACAAUGAAAACAUCGGCUAACAGCAUUCAGGAUUAUAUAUCGGUCUGCUGACGUCUCACAGACAAAGUCAGCUUUGUUAUAAUGAAGACACCAACAUUUCGGAGGACCUUCCCACUGGUCCGAUGAUAGACGCCUCUGUGAUAGAACAUUAUCUCAACCAUUAGAAAUCAGGAAGUUGGAUCCAAGCCCCACGUGUGGAGUCUAAAGCUGUUUUAACUUGUUUUGCCUGAUCAGACUUGCAUGUUAACUUAAAACAAUUUACACAUUUAUUUUGACUGUUCCUCUUUAAGGUUUGUGGCUUUUGCUCCUGAGGAAAACUCAAGGUGGACGGUCAAACAUGAUAAAGUGAGGUAGCAUCAGUCUGAAGGAUAUCAGUUCUCCUGAAGGCCCGCGAGCUCACAGCUCUUCUUCCACAGCUCGGUUUGGAGCUCAGAGUCGUAGGAAAGGUCAGCGGACUGCGUCUUCUGGCCAUUGUACACGUAACAGCCCCCCACUCCCUCCAUCUCAGAGGCGACUGCAGCGUAGAUGGUGGUGGAUGCUCCCUCUGCCGGAGUCUGAGGAGGACAAACAUGAAGAAAAAGGACUUUACAACCUGUUAGAAAAUCAGCAUGUGAAUGAGUCUGGGCCAGUCGGCAGGAGGACGCUUCUGGGUCUCCCAGGGUGCCUCGCUCUUCAGCGCUGUGCGCUCCACCACCCGCUCCACCGAGGUCAUCUGAGGACAUAAAGAGGUUGAUUGAGUCCCCGCACCGACCCUCCGGCUCUGACUCGACCCCCCCGGACCGGCGGCUCCGUCCUCACCAUGUUCUCCACCUCCGCGCUCUGCCUCACGCUCCACUGGAAGUUUCCUAUCAGCGUCACGGCGUAGGCUGCUGACUGAAGAGAGAAAACGGGCCAGAGAAGACCUGAAGUGCACACAAACACAAACACCAUGAAAUGUGGUGUCAAAUUCCUGACUAAAGAACUGCAGACCGUCCUUCCCUCUGGACCUUUUGUUUUGAGUUUUCUUUGCCUUUUCCAAUAUUUCCUAUCAAUGAUAUCACCAGUUAGGAUGUUUGAAAGUCAACACGGAAGCUUGAGCAUGUGGGGCUAACUCAGCCUGCCAAAUUAGCUAACUGUGAAUAAUUUGGUUAUUUUGAAUUUGAGACUAUUCACUUCUGAUUUCCUUUGACAUGACAUGGAAGUUAAUGGAAGAGCUACACAAAGGCAUUUGAUGUUACUUAUUUUCAUAGUUGUUUAGUGAUAUUUAAUUGAAUUAAAGUUACCCAAUUGUUUGUAGCAUGUGCUCCCAUCCGUGCUACCUCCAAACCAAGGUGAAAGGUCAGACUGUCAAACAGGAGGUGGGUGAAUCCAAUUGGUUUUAUAGAAGGGGGAACCCGGAUUGUACUAAGUGGGGUAGAGAACAGAGGGGUGUUUGGUUGUAUGUUGAAAUCUCAGCCAAUCAUAUGAACUUUGAGGGCGGACACUGAGAGGAAAGACAGAAAAACUUUGGAAAGAUCAUUUCAUUGUCUCUGGAUAAGUAGCUCAAGGUGUUAGAGUCUGUCUCGAAGGAUUCUAAGAUUGGUGGUUAAAUCACCCUGGAUUUAUUCAAGUUUUACAAUCUAAUAGGGUUUGACAUCAAAAGAUGAAUAUGAGACAAGAGAUCAACAUUUCAGCUUUUAUUUCCAGGUAUUUACAUCUGGAUCUGAUACACAACUUAGAAGAUAGCAUUAUUUGUAACAGAACACCAAUUUUUUAGGUGAGAAAAAGUAUUGGGACAGAUAGACUUAAAAUAGAUUAAAGUGUAUAAGACUUCAUAUUUAUUUGCAAAUCCUUUGCUUGCAAUAACUGCAUCAAGCCUGUGACCCAUUGACAUCACCAAACUUUUGCAUUCUUCUUUUGUGAUGCUUUUCCAGGCUUUCACCGCAGCCUCUUUCAGUUGUUGUUUAUUUUGGGGGGUUACUCCCUUCAGUCUCCUCUUUAGCAGGUAAAAUGCUCUAUAGGGUUUAAGUCUGGAGAUUGACUUGGCCAGUCUAAAACCUUCCACUUCUUGCCCCUGAUGAACUCCUUUGUUGUGUGUUUUGGGUCAUUAUCUUGCUGCAUGAUGAAUGAUCUCCCAGUCAGUUUGGUUGCAUCUUUCUUUAAAUUGGCAGACAAAAUGUUUCUGUAGACUUCUGAGUUCAUUUUGCUGCUGCCAUCAUGUGUUACAUCAUCAAUGAAGAUUAAUGAGCCCAUUCCAGAAGAAGCCAUGCAAGCCCAAGCCAUGACAUUACCUCCACCGUGUUUCACAGAUGAGCUUGUAUAUUUGGAUCCUUUCUUCUCCAAACUUUAGCCUUUCCAUCACUUUGGUAAAAGUUAAUCUUUACCUCAUCAGUCCAUAAAACUUUGUCCCAGAAUUUUUUAGGCUCAUCUCUGUACUUUUUUGGCAAAUUCCAGCCUGGCCUUCUUAUUCUUCUUGCUAAUGAGUGGUUUGCAUCUUCCGGUCUAGCCUCUGUUCUUUUGUUCAUGAAGUCUUCUGCGAACAGUAGAUUCUGAUACCUUCACUCCUGCCCUCUGGAGGUUGUUGCUGAUGUCACUAACAGUUGUUUUAGGAUCUUUCUUUACAGCUCUCACAAUGUUUCUGUCGUCAACUGCUGCUGUUUUCCUCGGCCUACCCAUUCGAGGUCUGUUACUUAGUACACCAGUGGUUUCUUUCUUCUUCAGGACAUUCAAAAUGGUUGUACUGGCUAUGGCCAAUGUUUGUGCUAUGGCUCUGAUGAUUUUCCCUCUUUUCUCAGCUUCACAAUUGCUUUUUUUUCACCCAUAGAAGCUCUCUGGUUUUCAUGUUAGUUACACCUCUAACUAUAAAUGCUAUAUAUAAAAACUAUAAAAUCCAAAUCUGCAACUGAGCGUAGACAUUCAGUGCUAUUUAUUGUUUGAAUAAUCAAUUUAAUAGGACACACCUGGGCAACAAUACACACCUGUCAGUCACAUGUUCCAAUACUCUUGCUCACAUGAAAAAUGGGUGUGCUCAAAAUAAAAGGUGCUAUCUUCUAAGUUGUGUAUCAAAUCCAGAUGUAAAUACCUGGAAAUAAAAGCUGAAAUGUUGAUCUCUUGUUUCAUAUUCAUCUGUUGGUGUCAAACCCAAAUGUUUUCAGUCUACAGCAAAAAUAAAGGAAUUGGCCUCACUGUUCCAAUACUUUUGGAGGGGUGUGUAUAUGGCUAUUACACAGUGAAUCAAAAGAGGCUGUUGGGGGCUGUGUGAGGGCUUAAAAGCCCUAGGUUUCGCCAGUAACAUUUGCUCUUCACUUCAGUGUCUUGCAUGUGAGUAAGUGUUACACGUGUUUCAAAGCUCCAGAAAAAGCUGUAAAUUGGACCUUAAGUUGAGGUUUUUAUUUUUUUUGUUAAAUCACAUGGACAUUUUUGGCUUGACAUUUAUAGAACAUGUUGACCAAAUAAAUGGUGGGCGAAGUGGACGUAUACAAAGUCAAGUGACAAUGUUUAACUUUUGUAUGCAUUUGUGUUUCUUUCACAGUGUUAACCAGGGUUUGUUACAGGAGAAGGAGAGCCUCAUGUCAGACUAUGAGAAACUGAAGGCUGAGGACCAGGAGAAGGAUACAAAGCUGCAGUCCAUAGCUGGAUGGAGCACAGCUUAAUAUGUUUUGUCAAUGUUAUUUAUACACGUUUUCUGUCCAGGCUGCUGAAUGAAGAGAGAAAACGGGCCAGAGAAGACCUGAAGUGCACACAAACACGAAUGAAAUGCGGUGUAAAAUUCCUGACUAAAGAACUACAGGCCGUCCUUCCCUACAAGAGCUACACAAAGACAUUUGAUGUUACUUAUUUUCAUAGUUGUUUAGUGAUAUUUAAUUGAAUUGAAGUUACCCAAUUGUUUGUAGCAUGUGCUCCCAUCUGUGCUACCUCCAAGGCAAGGCAAAAGGUCAGACUGUCAAACAGGAUGUGGGUGAAUCCAAUUUGAUUUACGGAAGGGGGAACCUGGAUUGUACUAAGCGGGGUAGAGAACAGAACAAAUCAAAACAACUACAGGAAAGGGGUUCUGUUGUCUGGUUAAAUAGCUCAGGUUGUUAGAGGACUGCUUUCAAUUCUAAUUAAGUUAGAUGAGUUUGUAAGUUCAUGCAAACAGUCAAAGGCUGUAAGAAAUAGCAGGGAAUUGUCUGAUCAAAUAGCUCAGGCUGUAAGAAGACUGCCUGAUAGUUAAGGGACUGUGGGUUUGAUUCUUAUAAGAGGCAGUAAAUUUAUGAAGUCUAGCAUCCAAAUAAUGACAUAAGAACUGUGAAAAAGAAAGGUAAAGUGUGUCUUACCAAAUAGCUCAGGCUGUUA